rnacentral:lncRNA from 1 species
CAGGACUCCAGAAACUCCAGAGGGCAAGAGGAGAUGCUGCAUUAUCCUGUCUCUGUUUCCUGACCUCUUUUUUGAAAGAAUGGAAACAGAGAGAGGUGAGCAAGAGAGGAAACCAGAGGGAAUCGAGAAUCAAAGAUGAGGACUGAAAGUGAAGUUGUGUCCGGUGGGAAACUGAAGUAAUUGCUGAAGGGAGUUAAUGAUGAGAGAGACAGUGUGAAAAGCUGCUCAUUGAAAACGAAUCCCCUUCUAGUAUUGGUAUUUUGGGAAAACCUUUCAUAAGAGCACAACACCGGUGGCAAAAAGAAAAUACAAAAAGGCAUAUUUCUACUCUGGCCUGAUUCUUCAAAUUGUC